rnacentral:rRNA from 1 species
UACGUAGGGGGCAGCGUUGUCCGGAAUCACUGGGCGUAAAGGGUGCGUAGGCGGGUCUUUUAAGUCAGGGGUGAAAUCCUGGAGCUCAACUCCAGAACUGCCUUUGAUACUGAAGAUCUUGAGUUCGGGAGAGGUGAGUGGAACUGCGAGUGUAGAGGUGAAAUUCGUAGAUAUUCGCAAGAACACCAGUGGCGAAGGCGGCUCACUGGCCCGAUACUGACGCUGAGGCACGAAAGCGUGGGGAGCAAACAGG